rnacentral:rRNA from 1 species
GAUGAACGCUGGCGGCGUGCUUAACACAUGCAAGUCGAACGGUGAAGGGAUCAGCUUGCUGGUUCUGGAUGAGUGGCGAACGGGUGAGUAACACGUGAGUAACCUGCCCCCUUCUUCUGGAUAACCGCAUGAAAGUGUGGCUAAUACGGGAUAUUCUGGGUCUGUCGCAUGAUGGGUCUGGGAAAGAUAUUGUUUCGGUGGGGGAUGGGCUCGCGGCCUAUCAGCUUGUUGGUGGGGUGAUGGCCUACCAAGGCGGUGACGGGUAGCCGGCCUGAGAGGGGGGACGGUCACACGGGGACUGGGACACGGCCCAGACUCCUACGGGAGGCAGCAGUGGGGAAUAUUGCACAAUGGGCGCAAGCCUGAUGCAGCGACGCCGCGUGAGGGAUGGAGGCCUUCGGGGUGUAAACCUCUUUCGCCAGUGAAGCAGGCCUGCUCCUUGUGGGUGGGUUGACGGUAGCUGGAGAAGAAGCGCCGGCUAACUACGUG